AAUAACAUUAAAUAAAAUUAGUUUAACCAAUAAAAAAAAAUACAAUAUUUUAUAAUUGGUCACAAUUUUUUAAUGACAUUAAAUUUUAUCUAUAAUAACGAGAACAUCACAUAAUAUGAAACAAAAUUAAUUAAAAUCCCUAAACACCACUUGUGAUACGGAGAAAAUAUUAUUUUCCCGACUAAACCAGUUGCCAGGCCCGUCUCUUAAUCUACAGCCACAUGAUUUUAGCUUUAAAAUUUUCAUAAACCUAAUCUUGUUUCUUCCACAUGAUUUCUUCGCAGACCACAUCACAGAUUUUCUCUCUUCCUCUCAGUCAACUAUUUAUUUCUAUUGUUCUAUAACUCUCUAACUCGAUUUUCUCUUCUAACUUUUUGUCAAGUAAGAUCUCUCUUCACGAAAAUGCUCAAUCUUCCUUUGCAUCUUCCAGUCUCAUCUAAGUCAAUUUGGGUUUAGGUGUAUACUUAGAUUAAAACACAAUCCCCUAAGCUAUUUGUGGAUUGAUUGUUUAAUAGGAAUCGCUUUUUGAGUGCUUGUUUCGGUGCUCUUGAAGCUCUGCCAAGUGCUUGUGAAAAUUCCUGCCUUUCGUAUGUCACAAUCUUGCGAGAAUCUUUACGCAUACCUUCUGAAGGCAUCAAACUCAUCUUACUUCAGGAGCAACGAGGCCAGUUACUUCCGCCUCUUCUCUACAUCCACUUCCUAGCUUAGCGGCAGUGACGAGUGCACCAGAGAAACGUAACAUGCCCUUUCUCCAUCCACGAAGACUCAAUAGAGGUUUAUGCAUUCGGUGGUGGUGAAGGUAGAAAAACAAGGAUAUUGGGAAUGAGCAAAGAAAGAAAACAAUGAAAAAUAACAAAUCAAUCACUGUCAACAAAUACAAGAAGAAAAUGAAAGUAGAAGCAAACGAAGAUCGUUUUAUAAAAAAGGUUCAAAAUAAGUUCCAUUGUGACAAGAGGCAAGAAGGAUGGUUAAACUAUGUAUCUCAAAUUCAUUGUAAUUAUUUUAUUAUAUUUUCUGUAAAUGGAAAACAUUUUGAAAGUCUCAUUUUCUUUUGUUAAACUUGGUAAAAAUCGGUAUUCAUGUUAUUUUUGUUUGUCAAACUUUGUGAAGAUUGGUAUUAUUUUGUUAUCUAUGUUUGUUUAACUUGGUAUUACUUUGUCAAAGUUUUCCAUUUUGUUUGGAACUUGGUAUUACUUAGGCAUUUUUGUUUGUGGAACUAAGACUUUGAAUUGCACCAGGACAGAAGCAGGAGAGAUGCAGAGGAAAAGUAAUUACAGAAUGAACUGCAUUUAUCACUCAUUCAAUAGUUAAAAUGCAGAACUUGUCACACACAUUUUGGAUGUUAUUUUAUUGCCAUACCCUUUGUCUACACUUAACUUGUCAAAACUAAAAGCAAACUAAGAAAAACACAUAGUCAGCUAAAGAUUCCGCUGUUUCCAUUUUAAUAAAGACAAUAACCAAUCCAACCCAAACCACUCUUCCCCCUUUCAUCUUCGCUGCAAUAAAAUCAAAAGCCCUAGUUUCUCAUAAACUCCACUACUCUCUCAUUUUUCUCAAUCGGUGGGAGAAAAUCAUCCCUAAUUAAGACCUCAUUCCAAUUUCAAGCACCGACCAUUAUCUCCAAUCUGAUUCCGGUGGAAGAACCUCAAAGUAACCUGAUUCAGGUAUUGGUCAAGAACCUCUCUCCUCACUAUAUGUUGGAUGGAGAGAUCAUCUUCAUCUUCGUUACCCUCCCGUCAAUGAUGUCUUGCGGCAAGUUGAGAGGAGGUUACGUCAUCUUCAUCUUCUUCACCCUCCCUAAGCGAGAGUUUCGUCGGCGCCUCUCCUGCCGGACCUCCACCGAUGACGGCGACGCGGAUGUUACAGUUAACAAGCUUGGGACUGGCUCUGGAUGUGGUUACUUUGAGAGAUCUUCAUAAUUGGAGUCAAGAGUCCCCGACGUGGAAGGUCAGUAUCUCCGUAAGCAUGUUUAAAGUUCUUAACUUUCAAUAAUCAUCGAUUCAAAAAAGUUUCUUUUACAAUUAAUGAUUAAAAAGUUCUUCUCAAGCUUUUAAAGUUGAAGCUUUCUUUUAUGCUUAGAUUUCAAAUAUUACUGGAUUCUUAAGCUAUCUAUAGUUCACAAUUUUAAUUUUCUUUUAUGAGUAGAUUAUAAAUAAUACACCAUUUCCAAAGUUCAUUCUUAAGCUAAACUCAGGGAGAAACUUGAAAAGAAGAUAAAGAUAACAACAAGAACAAAAGCGAUGAAGACAAGAACAUCAAAAUAAUACAAAGGAGAAGAAACCCAAAGCGGUGUUGGUAAAACUACAACGAGUACAAAGCAUGCUUAUUAUCAUCAGAAGAAAGACUACAAACCAGCUCUAGUAUGUGUGGAUACUCUCAGGGCUGGUGUGAUCCAUCAACUGAAACAGAUUGCUACCAAGGCGGUGUGUGGAUAGCUGGUACGUGGAUGGGUUCUGUGUGGACGGUUGAUGUGGGGAUGGGUGAUAUGUGGAUGGGGCGUCGUGGUAUUGCUCAGUGUGGACAAGAUCUCCGAGGACUAGUGGGUGCAGGUGAGCCGUCCAUAACCAAUUGACCGAUUAAUAACAUUGCAGUUGAUGUUACAACAGUGGGAGCUAUGUCAUAGUUAUAAAUCUGCAUACAAAGACCUCUUUUGGUGUCCUAUAUGUAACAUUUUUUGUUUCCUCUUUUGAGUUUACAGUAUAGAUUGUUAUUUUGUAGUUGCAUAUCACUCCAAUCUAUUAUGCAACUUGCACUACAAGAAAACAUUUAAUUA